CGCUGGCGGCGUGCCUAAUACAUGCAAGUCGAACGGUCUUUCUAUGGAAGCUUGCUUCCACUGAGAAGAUAGUGGCGAACGGGUGAGUAACACGUGGGUAACCUGCCCAUAAGAGGGGGAUAACAUCCGGAAACGGGUGCUAAUACCGCAUAGUUUUCUUGAUCGCAUGAUUGAGAAAGGAAAGACGGCCUUUGUGCUGUCGCUUAUGGGUGGACCCGCGGCGUAUUAGUUAGUUGGUGAGGUAAUGGCUCACCAAGACGAUGAUACGUAGCCGACCUGAGAGGGUGAUCGGCCACAUUGGGACUGAGACACGGCCCAAACUCCUACGGGAGGCAGCAGUAGGGAAUCUUCCGCAAUGGACGAAAGUCUGACGGAGCAACGCCGCGUGAGUGAAGAAAGGUUUUCGGAUCGUAAAACUCUGUUGUCAGAGAAGAACAAGUUGGAGAGUAACUGCUCCAGCCUUGACGGUAUCUGACCAGAAAGCCACGGCUAACUACGUGCCAGCCGCAGC
rnacentral:rRNA from 1 species